rnacentral:rRNA from 1 species
CACGUAGGGUGCGAGCGUUGUCCGGAGGCAUUGGGCGGAAAGGGCUAGUAGGCGGCUUAGCAAGUCGGGUGUGAAAUUUCCAGGCUUAACCUGGAACCGCCAUCCGAUACUGCUAUGGCUAGAGUCCGGUAGGGGACCACGGAAUUCCUGGUGUAGCGGUGAAAUGCGCAGAUAGCAGGAGGAACACCGGUGGCGAAGGCGGUGGGCUGGGCCGGCACUGACGCUGAAUAGCGAAAGCGUGGGUAGCAAACAGG